GAACUGCUGAGGAGUCCCAUAAUAGAACGAAACGGCUGUCCAGUGC
rnacentral:hammerhead_ribozyme from 1 species